UCUCUGUUAGUAUAUCGGUUAGUACACGCGCCUGUCACAAGCGAUGAUGUCGUACUGCUGACCGCGCGAAAGCGGGGUUCGACUCCCCGACAGAGAG